UGGGGGAUAUUGCACUAUGGGCGAAAGCCUGAUGCAGCGACGCCGCGUGGGGGAUGAAGGCUUUCGGGUUGUAAACCUCUUUCGCUAUCGAACAAGGCCCGCUUAGGGUGGGUUGAGGGUAGGUGGAGAAGAAGCGCCGGCUAACUACGUGCCAGCAGCCGCGGUAAUACGUAGGGCGCGAGCGUUGUCCGGAAUUAUUGGGCGUAAAGGGCUUGUAGGCGGCUUGUUGCGCCUGCUGUGAAAACGCGGGGCUUAACUUCGCGCGUGCAGUGGGUACGGGCAGGCUUGAGUGUGGUAGGGGUGACUGGAAUUCCAGGUGUAGCGGUGGAAUGCGCAGAUAUCUGGAGGAACACCGAUGGCGAAGGCAGGUCACUGGGCCAUUACUGACGCUGAGGAGCGAAAGCAUGGGUAGCGAACAGG
rnacentral:rRNA from 1 species